ACAACUGACUGUUGCUUGCUAGAUAUCCUCUUUCAGUCAGUAAGAAAUACUCCUUAUAUUUCCACCUUAUUUUCCCAGUAUUAUUCCUGAGGACAUAGCCCUUUCUCACAGUAUGGAAAGUCUGAAGUUAAAGAGGGUUUUUAUCUACAAAUUACAAAACUGAGGAGCAGCACAGCUAUGGAUUUUAAGUGCAACUGCAGCAAAUCUCCCAAACCUUUGAGGUUCUCCCACCAGUAAAAUAAUGCACCACAACCGAAAAUGCUGAAGCCUGAAAGCGGAACUUAACCAUAACCAGAAGAAAGGGUAUUUGUUAUUUGAUCAAAAACAUGCGUUAUCUCAGAUUCUGUGACAGCAGGACCAUUUUAGGACUGAAAAUGUUUUGAAAUAACUCCUUAAUUUCAUAUGUUGGUUGAAAAUAUUGGCUAGUAUUGGAACAUAAGAAUACAAGAAAGAAGAUGAAAUAGCCUUUACUGAUGUGUGUAAUAACAAUUGAGAAUAUAAAUUAAAUAAAAUUAGGUUUUAUUGAGCUGGUGUAUUGUAAAUUGAAUCUAACCAAUGGUGCUGGCAAUGCCAAUCAAUAUUAUCGGUUAACCUUGUAUAAUACUACUUUAAAUACAAAGCAACCUAGAUGCUAGUCUUUAUUAUUAAGCAAUGAAAAAGAGCUGAGCCCCAUUAAAAGACUUCAGUUGAGACAUCCUGGUAAAUUUGUAAAAUUACCUUUGUUCUGUAUAAUUUAGAAUAGACAGGUUUGACCAAACCUUUUCUCAGUAAUGCUCACUAUUUGAUGCUAGUGUCAGCAUUACAAUUGUAUUAAAUGGCUCUUUAUCAAAAAAGUCUGGUUUACGAUCCUUUGAAAAAAUCAUAAACAAACUUGUAAAUGUUCAAAAAGAGAUAAUAUAGAUGCCAUGAAAAAACCAACUUGUAAAUAUGUAUUUUGACUACAUAAUGCAUUCUGAU